rnacentral:lncRNA from 1 species
CACCAAUGGGCAGCGGCAUCGGGCGGGUAGGCGCGGUUUCCUCCCGCCCGCCCGCCCCCAUCCCCCCCGUCCCCGGUCCCCCGUCCCCGGUCCCCUGUCCCCCGCGGCCCCCUCCCCCUCCCCGUCCCCUGCGAUCGUCCGCUGCCAUCCCGCCGCGCCGCGAACCGGCCGGGCCGGGCCGGGCCGAGAUCCGGCCCGCCUGGGAGGUGGGCACUGGGCGGCGCUCCGCCUCCACUCCCCUGCGGGGACUGCCCGAGGAGGAGCGCGGCGGGGCCGGGGCCGCGGGCCGGAGCCCAGCGCCGCGGCGGCGGCAGCGACAGCACAGCGAGCGGCCCGGGAGCACGCCGGAGGGGGCCGGCGCCGAGGAGCGGCGCGGCGCGGCGCGGCUUCCCCGCUUUUCGGCUCCACUCCUUUCUUCCUCUCCUCCUCCUCCUCUUCCUUCUCUUCCUCUCCUCCCAGCCCUCCUCCUCCUCCUCCUCCUCCUCCUCCUCCUCCUCCUUCCCCCGGCCCCGCCGCCCUUCCUCGGCCCACAGGGCUGCUGCCGGCCUCCGGCCCGGGUGCCCACCCCGUGGAUGGCACGGGGGCUCGCGGCCCCUCUAGCUGCCACGUUUCUGGGUGCGCCGGGAGGCCCCCCCCUCGGGAGGCCUGCCGGCCCCCGCCCUCCUCCCUCCGCCCUCUCCCGGUCCCCGGGACCCCGCCGCUCAAUUGUUUGAAACUUCCCCGCCCCUCGGCCCCUCCUCCUUCCCUCCUCUCCGCCUCCUGUCCCCCCUCCCCUCUGUCCCCUCCCUCUCCGUCCCCACCCCGGCGGCCGAUCGGGCCGGACUGGGUCCCUUCUCUCCCCUCCCCCCUCCCUCCUCUCCUCCUCCUGCCCCCUGCCGCCCCCUGCCCCACCCCCCUGCCCGGGGGCGGGCCGAGCUGUUCCCCACUAGAAGAAUAAUAGCCAGACACCCAGUGGUCCGCAGUCGCUCCCUACCUUCGGUGUGUCGGGGUGUCUGUCUCUCGCUCCGGCCGUCCGGGGUUCGGUGCGCUCCGUCCGAGUCCUCGCCUGGCUCCAGCCGCCUUCGAAGCAGGCACGCCCCUUCCCUCCGCGAAGGGCCGGGGUAGUCCCUGCCUCCGCGGCGCUGCAGCCUGCCCCAGGCUCCCCUCCGCGGCCGCCCGCCCGCAUCCUCCUCCAGCAGCUGUCCGCGACCCGAGCCCCGGCUGCAGGGCGGCAGAGGCGGCGGCGGCCCAGGCGGCGCCCAGCCCGCGGCUCCGGCCACCUGAGCCCGAGUCUCGGGUCCCAGAGGCCUGCGCGUGAGUGUGCGCCGGGGAAGCCGCUUCCGUGCGUCCCGAGGAGAUUCGUCCAAGGCUCCGUUCCUGGAGUUCCGAGAGAACCUCAAGGCCUCAGAGCUUUGAGUGGCCAGUGGUUGGACGCCCAGCAGGAUCAGAUCAGCCUUACCCAACCGCAAAGGCCUUUGGGUAAGGGAGACAGACCAAGUGGCAGGAAGACCAGGCUGUUGGUCAGUGUUUGAACAAAAAGCCUCUUCCUUCUCCAAGGUUUCCCAAAGGAGAGCAGAAAUAGGUCAAGGGCAGCCCAAGCAGCCACGUUCGCUCUCAGCCCACAAGGCCCCGACUUUGG